rnacentral:rRNA from 1 species
UACAGAGGGGGCGAGCGUUGUUCGGAAUUACUGGGCGUAAAGGGCGUGUAGGCGGCCCGCUAAGUCGAACGUGAAAUCCCCGGGCUCAACCCGGGAACUGCGUCCGAUACUGGCAGGCUUGAAUCCGGGAGAGGGAUGUGGAAUUCCAGGUGUAGCGGUGAAAUGCGUAGAUAUCUGGAGGAACACCGGUGGCGAAGGCGGCAUCCUGGACCGGUAUUGACGCUGAGGCGCGAAAGCCAGGGGAGCAAACGGG